ACGCUGGCGGCAUGCCUUACACAUGCAAGUCGAACGGCAGCACGGAGCUUGCUCUGGUGGCGAGUGGCGAACGGGUGAGUAAUAUAUCGGAACGUACCCUAGAGUGGGGGAUAACGUAGCGAAAGUUACGCUAAUACCGCAUACGAUCUAAGGAUGAAAGUGGGGGAUCGCAAGACCUCAUGCUCGUGGAGCGGCCGAUAUCUGAUUAGCUAGUUGGUAGGGUAAAAGCCUACCAAGGCAUCGAUCAGUAGCUGGUCUGAGAGGACGACCAGCCACACUGGAACUGAGACACGGUCCAGACUCCUACGGGAGGCAGCAGUGGGGAAUUUUGGACAAUGGGCGAAAGCCUGAUCCAGCAAUGCCGCGUGAGUGAAGAAGGCCUUCGGGUUGUAAAGCUCUUUUGUCAGGGAAGAAACGGUGAGAGCUAAUAUCUUUUGCUAAUGACGGUACCUGAAGAAUAAGCACCGGCUAACUACGUGCCAGCAGCCGCGGUAAUACGUAGGGUGCAAGCGUUAAUCGGAAUUACUGGGCGUAAAGCGUGCGCAGGCGGUUUUGUAAGUCUGAUGUGAAAUCCCCGGGCUCAACCUGGGAAUUGCAUUGGAGACUGCGAGGCUAGAAUCUGGCAGAGGGGGGUAGAAUUCCACGUGUAGCAGUGAAAUGCGUAGAUAUGUGGAGGAACACCGAUGGCGAAGGCAGCCCCCUGGGUCAAGAUUGACGCUCAUGCACGAAAGCGUGGGGAGCAAAC
rnacentral:rRNA from 1 species